rnacentral:tRNA from 1 species
AGCAGGGUAGCGCAGCGGUAGAGCGCCAGACUCAUAAUCUGGAGGUCGCGGGUUCGAAUCCCGCCCCUGCAA